rnacentral:rRNA from 1 species
UACGGAGGGGGCUAGCGUUGUUCGGAAUUACUGGGCGUAAAGCGCACGUAGGCGGCUUUGUAAGUUAGAGGUGAAAGCCCAGGGCUCAACCCCUGGAAUUGCCUUUAAGACUGCAUCGCUAGAAUUGUGGAGAGGUAAGUGGAAUUCCGAGUGUAGAGGUGAAAUUCGUAGAUAUUCGGAAGAACACCAGUGGCGAAGGCGACUUACUGGACACAUAUUGACGCUGAGGUGGCGAAAGCGUGGGGAGCAAACAGG